rnacentral:rRNA from 1 species
GGAUGAACGCUGGCGGCGUGCCUAAUACCUGCAAGUCGAGCGAACAGACGAGGAGCUUGCUCCUCUGACGUUAGCGGCGGACGGGUGAGUAACACGUGGAUAACCUACCUAUAAGACUGGGAUAACUUCGGGAAACCGGAGCUAAUACCGGAUAAUAUAUUGAACCGCAUGGUUCAAUAGUGAAAGACGGUUUUGCUGUCACUUAUAGAUGGAUCCGCGCCGCAUUAGCUAGUUGGUAAGGUAACGGCUUACCAAGGCAACGAUGCGUAGCCGACCUGAGAGGGUGAUCGGCCACACUGGAACUGAGACACGGUCCAGACUCCUACGGGAGGCAGCAGUAGGGAAUCUUCCGCAAUGGGCGAAAGCCUGACGGAGCAACGCCGCGUGAGUGAUGAAGGUCUUCGGAUCGUAAAACUCUGUUAUUAGGGAAGAACAAAUGUGUAAGUAACUAUGCACGUCUUGACGGUACCUAAUCAGAAAGCCACGGCUAACUACGUGC